CACGUAGGGGGCAAGCGUUGUCCGGAUUUAUUGGGCGUAAAGAGCUCGUAGGCGGCUCACUAAGUCGGGUGUGAAAUUUCGAGGCUCAACCUCGAAACGCCACCCGAUACUGGUGUGGCUAGAGUCCGGUAGGGGAGCGUGGAAUUCCUGGUGUAGCGGUGAAAUGCGCAGAUAUCAGGAGGAACACCAGCGGCGAAGGCGGCGCUCUGGGCCGGUACUGACGCUGAGGAGCGAAAGCGUGGGUAGCAAACGGG
rnacentral:rRNA from 1 species